GCCCUGCUCCUUCUCUCUAAUCCUUGCUACCUGGGUGAGAGUGCUGUCUCCAUGCAAUGUACCUGGGCAAGGGUUCCGAGAGCAAGAGUG
rnacentral:pre_miRNA from 1 species